ACCUGUCAAGGGAUGGGAUCAGGCGGCAAGUGAACAGCUGCUGCACCCCGUGUACUGGAAGCUCCAACAAACGGGCGAGUGAGGGUUUGAAGGUCUUUGACAAAGCGAGGGUUGUGACGGUCGGAUCAAAACAGCACAUGAUGGCCGACUUUGUGGUGAAGUGGAUGAAAUCGACAAAUAACACCCUUUUCCACGACAUGCUGCUGAAGUGCCGCUCCUGGGGAUAAGCAGCUGCCAGAAAACUGAAGGAUGACAGCUAAUGGAGUUUCAGACAGACAUGUCCUUGGACAUCUUUUUGUUGCUCCAGCAGCGCCCUCUUCAGGCAGUUGGCGCUCUACUAAUCCAUGCCAAGAACCGCCCCUGCUGGAAGUAAAAAGGAAAAAAAGGAAAAGGAUACAUCCAGCCCCUCAUGUGCUGCAGGAGCUGCUGCUGGCUGGCUGGAAGGAGAGAAAGAGAGAGAGAGGAAACGAAGGGGCUGGCUUUAGAGCUCAGACCGCAGAUGGAAACCAAUCACCUAAUUAAGCUGAAACCAGAAUGUACACACACCUUAAACAUUCAAGAUGUAAAUAACUCACUGGUGUAACGAGGCUCGCUUUCCCCAAAUGCAAAAUCUCACCUGCGACAGCUGCUUUUCUCCACAUCGGUUCAAAAUGUCCUCACAGAACUAGUUAAUAGAGAUUCUUAUGAAGCUUUUGUAGUUUCUUGUCUCUCUCCAAGUCGAGCUCUGUCUAGGCCUGUUGCAAUAAACAACAAAUCAAGCA